UGACUAGUCGACCCGCCCGCCGCCGCCGCGCAGGACCCCAACGAGCCGGGGCCGCCCCACCAACCGCCUGCCCCGCCGCGGUCUCCGCCUCGGGCAACACCUCGCCCUCAGCUGGCACACACCGACCUCACCCCGGGGGCACAAGUGAACAACUUUUGUAUAGUUGGAGUGGGCUACAUCCUUUUUGACAAUUGCACAGACUGUAACCCUAAAACUCCUGCUGAGUUUUAGAGUUUUGUUUGGUUAAAUCCAGUGACACUUCUGGAAUAUCUACGGUCAGAAAAUCAUUAUGAGCUACUGGAUUUGUGUCUAUUGGCAGAGAUGCCUAACCUCCAAGAAACAGAAGGAUUGACAGUCUUAAUACCCUGCCCAGUUCCCAGGAAAUCAAUCCUGCAUGUUACAAAUAUCGGA